rnacentral:rRNA from 1 species
GAUGAACGCUGGCGGCGUGCUUAACACAUGCAAGUCGAGCGGGCAAUUUAUCUAGCACUGAUUACUUCAAAUGGAAAUCAUAAGUGUAAUCAUGAAUUUCUACCUUUAAUAAAGAAAAAGAAAUUCAUGUACGCAAAUAGUGAUAACACAUUUUAGUGAAGUGAUGAGUGCUGGAUAAAUUGCUAGCGGCGGACGGGUGCGUAACACGUGGGUAACCUGCCCCUAUCACUGGGGAUAACACACUGAAAAGUGUGCUAAUACCAGAUAAUAUAAGCUUUUGGCAUCAUUAGCUUAUCAAAGAAUUUCGGAUAGGGAUGGGCCCGCGUCUGAUUAGCUAGUUGGUGAGGUAACGGCUCACCAAGGCAACGAUCAGUAGCCGACCUGAGAGGGUGAUCGGCCACACUGGAACUGAGACACGGUCCAGACUCCUACGGG